GGAUGUGAGGGCGAUCUGGCUGCGACGUCUGUCACCAGGGUUGAUUCAGCUGAUUUGGCUGGCUAGGCGGGUGUCCCCUUCCUCCCUCACUGCUCCAUGUGCAUCCCACCCAAAGCUGCGCGCUAGGUCGAAGAGGAUGACCACCCCCGAUAGAGGAGGACCAUUUUCUUGGUCAAGGGUAUAUGAGUAGCUGCGCUCCCCUGCUAGAACCUCCAAACAAGCUCUCAAGACCUGAUGACAAUUUAUAGUGGUAAUUUUUUUAUUACACUGAUAUAUAAGAAAUUAAGAGAAUAAGAGAUAACAUUU
rnacentral:snRNA from 1 species